UUUAGACUUAAGAGCUAUUCAAAUAAGGCACAGCUUAUUUGAAAUAGGACACAACCUACAACAUAGGGUAAACUAGAGUGACCUAAAUAAAGUGGGCCUAAAAGCAGCCACCUUUAGAAAAGCGUUAAAGCUUAACUACCUUCACUCAUAAUGCCUAAAAUCUCCACUAACCCUUCAUUACUACUGAACAAUUUUAUACUUAUAUAAAAGCUAUCAUGCUAGAACUAGUAACAAGAAACUGCUUUUCUCCUAAAUGUAAACAUAAACCAAAAUAGACUCUCUAUUGGUUAUUAACGUAAAUGCUAAACUGUAGCAACACUCACUAGAAAAUCCUAUAAACCCCCAACGUUAACCUUACACCAGAACAUUACAGGAAAGAUUAAAAGAAAAAGAAGGAACUCGGCAAAUUUUAGCCUCGCCUGUUUACCAAAAACAUCGCCUCUUGACAAAACAUAAGAGGUCCAGCCUGCCCAGUGACAAAGUUCAACGGCCGCGGUACCCUAACCGUGCAAAGGUAGCACAAUCACUUGUUCUUUAAAUGAGGACUCGUAUCAACGGCACUACGAGGGCUAUACUGUCUCCUUUUUCUAAUCAGUGAAACUGAUCUCCCCGUGAAGAAGCGGGGAUUAUAAUAUAAGACGAGAAGACCCCAUGGAGCUUUAAACUCACCAUGCACCUCUGUGCUCCUAUACCCCUAAACACAACAGACCUGCAUGUUAGUUUUAGGUUGGGGUGACCACGGAGUAUAACUUAACCUCCACAGCAAACGGGCUAAUACCCUUAUCCACGAGACACAACUCUAAGAAUUACUAAACUAAUGCUUACGACCCGAUAUUCGAUCCAUGAACCAAGUUACCCUGGGGAUAACAGCGCAAUCUACUUCAAGAGCCCAUAUCGACAAGUAGGUUUACGACCUCGAUGUUGGAUCAGGGUAUCCCGGUGGUGCAGCCG
rnacentral:rRNA from 1 species